UCGGGACGUGGACAAGGGGGUGUUUCUGGCAUAAAGCAGUUUUGCCUCUCGCUCAGAAUGAGAUCUCUGGCCCCGACGCACUCACAGCAUUUCGUAAAGGUGGUGCCGACCCCUCACACACUGCUGGCCUUGGCCCGCCUGGGAGGAGGGGCGUACCUCAAUGCUGGGGGGAGUACCUGCAUGCAGGGGGAGUAUCUGGGUGCAGGGAGUACCUCAGUGCAAGAAGGUAUCGGAAUGCAGAAGGAAUAUCUGAAUGCAGAGGAGUAUCUGCAUGGAGUACCUGCACGCAGGGGGAGUAUCUGAAUGC